GACGAACGCUGGCGGCGUGCCUAAUACAUGCAAGUCGAGCGAGCUUGCCUAGAUGAUUUUAGUGCUUGCACUAAAUGAAACUAGAUACAAGCGAGCGGCGGACGGGUGAGUAACACGUGGGUAACCUGCCCAAGAGACUGGGAUAACACCUGGAAACAGAUGCUAAUACCGGAUAACAACACUAGACGCAUGUCUAGAGUUUGAAAGAUGGUUCUGCUAUCACUCUUGGAUGGACCUGCGGUGCAUUAGCUAGUUGGUAAGGUAACGGCUUACCAAGGCAAGGAUGCGUAGCCGAGUUGAGAGACUGAUCGGCCACAUUGGGACUGAGACACGGCCCAAACUCCUACGGGAGGCAGCAGUAGGGAAUCUUCCACAAUGGACGAAAGUCUGAUGGAGCAACGCCGCGUGAGUGAAGAAGGGUUUCGGCUCGUAAAGCUCUGUUGGUAGUGAAGAAAGAUAGAGGUAGUAACUGGCCUUUAUUUGACGGUAAUUACUUAGAAAGUCACGGCUAACUACGUG
rnacentral:rRNA from 1 species